rnacentral:tRNA from 1 species
CUGCCCUUAGCCCAGCUGGAUAGAGCGUUGGAUUCCGAUUCCAAAGGCCGGGGGUUCGAAUCCCCCAGGGCAGGCCA